rnacentral:rRNA from 2 species
GUUUAAUGAGCAACGCCGCGUGAGUGAUGAAGGCUUUCGGGUCGUAAAACUCUGUUGUUAGGGAAGAACAAGUACGAGAGUAACUGCUCGUACCUUGACGGUACCUAACCAGAAAGCCACGGCUAACUACGUGCCAGCAGCCGCGGUAAUACGUAGGUGGCAAGCGUUAUCCGGAAUUAUUGGGCGUAAAGCGCGCGCAGGCGGUUUCUUAAGUCUGAUGUGAAAGCCCACGGCUCAACCGUGGAAGGUCAUUGGAAACUGGGGAACUUGAGUGCAGAAGAGAAAAGCGGAAUUCCCCGUGUAGCGGUGAAAUGCGAAGAGAUGUGGAGGAACACCGGUGGCGAAAGCGGCUUUUUGGUCUGUAACUGACGCUGAAGCGCGAAAGCGUGGGGAGCAACCAGGAUUAGAUACCCUGGUAGUCCACGCCGUAAACGAUGAGUGCUAAGUGUUAGAGGGUUUCCGCCCUUUAGUGCUGCAGCUAACGCAUUAAGCACUCCGCCUGGGGAGUACGGUCGCAAGACUGAAACUCAAAGGAAUUGACGGGGGCCCGCACAAGCGGUCGACUA